CCUACGGGUGGCAGCAGUGAGGAAUAUUGGUCAAUGGGCGGAAGCCUGAACCAGCCAAGUCGCGUGAGGGAUUAAGGCCCUGCGGGUCGUAAACCUCUUUUGCCGGGGAGCAGUGGUCCGGACGAGUCCGGGCCGGGAGAGUACUCGGAGAAAAAGCAUCGGCUAACGCCGUCCCAGCAGCCGCGGUAAUACGGAGGAUGCGAGCGUUAUCCGGAUUUAUUGGGUUUAAAGGGUGCGUAGGCGGGCAUUUAAGCCGGCGGGCAAAUGUCGGGGCUCAACCCCGGCCUGCCGUCGGAACUGGGGGCGUUGAGUGGGCGAGAAGUAGGCGGAAUGCGUGGUGUAGCGGUGAAAUGCAGAGAUAUCACGCAGAACCCCGAUUGCGAAGGCAGCAUACCGGCGCCCGACUGACGCUGAGGCACGAAAGUGCGGGUAUCGAACAGGAUUAGAUACCCCAGUAGUC
rnacentral:rRNA from 1 species